CGCGGAUUGUUCAAAAAUUCAAAAUUGAGGAAUUAUGGCGCAAAAGUUGCCCGCACGCCAGCAGAAGGCAGGGAAUGCCCACACAAUUCAAAAUCCACAUCUUUGAUUGGCUGCUAGCAUCCCGCCAUUUGAUAUCCCUCCCAAUUUGGGAAUCUCGCAAGCUGAUUGGCCUAGACAUUUCCCCCACCUUCACUCUCAUACCCAGCGAAGACGACUGCGCUCAUUCGAAUAAAAGAGUUCUAAAAACAUAUUUACAGUAUGUACACUUUAGUUACAUCUACGUAUGUUACACACACGUAUCAUAU
rnacentral:lncRNA from 1 species